GAUGAACGCUAGCGGCAGGCCUAAUACAUGCAAGUCGAACGGUGUCUUCGGACAUAGUGGCGCACGGGUGCGUAACACGUAUGCAACCUACCUUACAUUGGGGGAUAGCCUUUCGAAAGGGAGAUUAAUACCGCAUAAGACAGUAGCUGGGCAUCCAGCAGCUGUUAAAGAUUUAUCGAUGUAAGCUGGGCAUGCGUCCAAUUAGCUAGUUGGUGAGGUAACGGCUCACCAAGGCAAUGAUUGGUAGGGGAACUGAGAGGUCAAUCCCCCACACUGGCGCUGAGAUACGGGCCAGACUCCUACGGGAGGCAGCAGUAGGGAAUAUUGGGCAAUGGACGCAAGUCUGGCCCAGCCAUGCCGCGUGCAGGAUGAAGGCGUUAUGCGUUGUAAACUGCUUUUAUACAGGAAGAAACGACUCUUGCGAGAGGCAUUGACGGUACUGUAUGAAUAAGCACCGGCUAACUCCGUGCCAGCCGCCGCGGUAACAC
rnacentral:rRNA from 1 species